CAGCCGCCGCGGUAAUACGUAGGGUGCGAGCGUUAAUCGGAAUUACUGGGCGUAAAGCGUGCGCAGGCGGUUAUAUAAGUCAGAUGUGAAAUCCCCGGGCUCAACCUGGGAACUGCAUUUGAGACUGUAUGGCUAGAGUGUGUCAGAGGGGGGUAGAAUUCCACGUGUAGCAGUGAAAUGCGUAGAUAUGUGGAGGAAUACCGAUGGCGAAGGCAGCCCCCUGGGAUAACACUGACGCUCAUGCACGAAAGCGUGGGGAGCAAACAGGAUUAGAUACCCGGGUAGUCCCUGUCUCUUAUAC
rnacentral:rRNA from 1 species